rnacentral:tRNA from 1 species
UCCUACCUGUCUCAGAUGGUAAAGAAUCUGCCUGCAAUGCAGAAGACCUGGGUUUGAUCCCUUGGUCAGGAA